GGAGUUGCUACAGAGAGAGACACAAAAUUAGAAGAGGGCCACAUGGACCUGAUGGCAAUGGGAUCUAUACCUUAUCCGUGCUUGGUUCAGCUGUAAGCCAGACAAAGGCUCUGUAGCAAAACGAUAGCCCCUAAUGGCUGGUGUGUUGGCUGCAGGGCAGCCCUGACAUGCGGGCAUGGUUAGAUGCCCUGGGAGAGCCACAGUGAUGAACACUGGAUGAAGGGGGAGCUACUGGGCUUUUAGCCUGUACUGGCCACAGUUUUUGGUCAGCUGAGAUCGUUUCAGCCCAAAUUCCCAUGUGGUAACCUUUUGUGUUGGAUCAGAUUCUUUUGUGUUUUUGCACAGGGUGAAGUGAGGUGUGUUUGGACCAUUCAAGGAGGAGAUGGUUUCAUGCGAGUCAAGGGCUGACCUGCAGACAGGCUGGAUCUCCGCCUUUUAUAGAUGGGGAACGGUGGCUGUGAGGGUUCCCAAGGGAUCAGGAAGAACUGGGAGGCCUCUUGCAGGACCCUCAAACACUCACCUCCCAGAAGCAUCUCCUGCAGCAGGUUGUCGAUCUUAGCCAUGCCGAAGAGCUUAACAAACUGGAUCUGCUCUAUCAUCUGCCAGGUGAUGCUCUGCAGCACGGGCAGCAGCAGCAGCAGCUCCCCGAAGCGGCCCCGUGAGUCGUACUGCCGGUCAUUGAUGUAGUCCUCCAGGCUGACCUGCACCUGGUACCGCAUCCGCUUGAUCUUGGAGGGGUCACUCAGUCCUUUGGCAUCUGAAACAACCCACAGAGCAAACUAUCCAGGCUGCUUCCCUAGGAACUGUCCUUCAGUAAUAACAUGAAUUCUGGGCACAGGCUGAGGUGAGCUGUCUCUGAUUCUCCGCUGUCUGUGGCAGUGGACAUUUUUCUUCUUCUUGGUCUGACUUCACCCCUCCCUCUAUGAACAGCUUGGCCCCAGGAGGAGACCAGGCGGCACUUCCACAGCUCACAACUAGUAUUUGUUGGCAUAACACCAACUAGUUCCCUUUGACAAUGAGCCUUGCAUGCUGCAAGACAGAGCAUACCUGGGUCAAAGAAGAUGAUGGCUUUCAAGCAGGCGUAUUCGUUAUCAUCUAUCUGCAGCUCCUGGAAGGGGAGGACCAGCUCGUCCAGGAUGCGGAUGGCCACGCGGCUGACCUCCACCAGCUCGGGGCAGUUCCGUGGGAUGAUAUGGUCAUUUCCUUUGGACAAGCAGCACAGAGACCAUCACCUCGUCAUUGACCAAAAAUUCAUAAGGGUGACAAGGAGUUCAAAACCCAGACAACUAAUGUUGAGAUGGAAGCCUUAAGAAGUUCCUGUUUCUGCCUAGUAUGGCCCACCAGAAAUGCUGAUCUUUUCUGCCAGAGCAGCUUCUCCCCACUCAGGAGUCACUCAAGCAAGGAGAAGCUGAUUGAGGAGCAAGAGCUUCUUCUCAAUCACACCACAGCCUGCUUACACUAAACCUGAUGGGGAUGUUUAUUGUCAACUACCUUUGCCACACCAACAGGUUAUGGUCCAGAUGUGAAUAUGUGUCAGGCCUGGCUGCACACAAAGGGUUCCUUAAAAGCUCAAGCCACCACCCUGCAAAAAGGGUGCCUGCAAACACUGAACCACACUCUCCUUUAUCCCAGCAGGGAAGCUUAGCAGAAACAGAGCAGCAGGGAGGAGCAGAAGCGCACUCUUUACCUAGCAGCAAGACAUCCUUGAACACCAUGGACCUCUUGGCAACUCCCAGUAACAGAUGUUCGCCUGCAUGUGCUCGCAGCAGUGCCACCUGCAAGGGUAGGGACAAGUUACUUGGGUGGUGCACAGACAGACACACACGGCUGUGAUUUCAUGUAAGCAGCAGAGGAAGCUGAGAAUCUGUGUUACACUCAGGCUAGAUGUAUGGGAGGGGGAAGCAAGGGAGUGCUUAGGAAAAUAAGGCUCCAUCUUAGGAAGAGACUGGGUGAAACCAUGAUGACUGAGGAGGAAGGCAGUGGGGAGAGACUGCAGAGCAGCCUGGUCACGGGGCGGGAUGGGGCUGCAGGGCCCUACCGGGGCAGCACGGGGGGAUUCCUGUAACCCAGCCCACGUGCAUCGUGCCCCUCGCUGAAAGCUCCCUGCUGCACUCAGUGACCCGGGAUCAGAGGCCCAGGAAUGAGCCUGAGGUGCCUGUGUGAGGGGAGAUGAGGCUUUAGCUGUCUCUCACAGGACCAAGGAGGAGGGCUGCCAUAUCUCUGGGCAGUGCCCACAGGGACUCACGUCUACUGGCUGGGGGGUUGCUCUCUGGUCAUUUGUUCCCUCCGUAGCAGUGGGCAUUUGAGCCAGAGAAGCCAAAGGGAUGUUUUUCUGCCUUGGCGUUAAUGAUUGAAGUGUUUCAUUUUACACCCUCCAUUGGCUCCCGAGAAUGUUCUGAAUCUUUUGCCCUCCUUCGGUUAAAAAUUUCAGAGAUUUAGGCAGAAACAAAAGUUAACAAUUGGACAGCCUGACAUGGAGACUCCUUAAUAUCCAGCCAGGAAACUCUGCUGAAGAAAACAAUCAUUAAACAUUAAAGGAGAGAUUCUGAAAAGUUUGUCCUGAUGGGAAUGGUCCCCUUUUCCAGUGGGUUAUCUCUCAGCAUCUGACAAAGCCAAGCAAAGUCCUACCCUACCAGAAAUGUCAGGAAAGUGUAUCACCUGUGGAAGAAAGCACUGGUUAAAAAAGAUGCUGAUGUCUGAGAGAUGUUUUUUGGUGUUUUUUUUUUCUUUCUUUUUUUUUCUUUUUUUUCUUCUUGGGGGUGUAAAAGGGUUAUGCAAAAUAAACAGAGUGGAGGUCCUUGCAAAAAGACUAUGCACACAUGAUGUUGGGGAACCUUUAUCUGUAUGCCCAAAUCUAGCCUCUCUCUAUCGCUAUCCAAACAUGGGUGGGUGUACUAGCUGAGCUGCUCGUAAUUAGCAGAGCUGCACAAAGCUGAGCUUCCCAUCUGCCGAAAAUUUGAGAAGGUUGGGAAGACUGCAAGUCCCAGUGGGGAACAAACCCCUCGUGGAAAUUUUCUGCCUAAUCCAAAUUCAAAAGCUCAGGUUGGAAACACCAUUUUUGUAUCCAUACAAUGUACUUUAAAGUUAAACUAAAUUACUUCAGCAAAGCAAAAACAUCUUAACUGUUCUUUGUUCUUGCAGUGAUCACCCUGAGAUACAUCACUCCAUUGUCAACUAGGAUAAAUAUAAAAGUUGUAACACCGCAAAGUAGAACUUUAACUUUGAAGUGGAAUGGCUUUGCCCCACCAAACCCAGUACUCUGACAUUUUGGUGCAGAGGAAAAAUGAGUUGGGUGUGACUUUUCCUAUAAAUAUGCUGGCUGAGAUGACUCAUUCUGAGGCAGCAUUUUAAUGGCAGUGUCACAGCGUUUCCCAACAUUACAUGUUCCCACCGGACAUGUCUUGACCAGCUCUCAUGCCCCUUGGGCAUUUGGCUCGCGUGUAUUUUUGUUCAUUCCUGCUCCCUGGCAUGUCUGUCCUCCUUCCUGCACUCCCCUGAGUAUCUGCUGUCUCUGUUCUCACACUCCGUCCCUCGAAA